rnacentral:rRNA from 1 species
GGUGCUCAGUAUGAGAAGAACCGCACC